AUGGACUUCGAGGAAAUUCUCCUGAUAGCUUCCAAAGGAUGAGGUGUCAACAAUGUACAGAAAAGGUGUAGUUUGGCAGUGGAGCCUCCCAAGAAAGACCCAAAAGUUAAAGGCACAAGCUUUUCUUAGAAGGAAAGAAGAAGAGGUUAGGUGAAAAUCUUUAGAGAAGGAAAGGAGAGAGGAAGAACUAGUGAAGAAGCAAAUUGAGCUCAAACAUGACAAAAAAGCAAGAGCUGUGGCCAAAAGGACUAAGGAUAAUUUCCAUGGUUACAGUGGGAUUCCUACUGAGGAAAAGCCAAAGAAGAGGCAGGCAGUGGAAAGGCAUAUUAGCCAGGGAAUAGACCGAGACUAUGAGGUGGAAGAAGAGAAUGAAUUCUUUGAACACAAUUAAGCCGAGUGAGAGCAGGAGUAUGAAGAAGAGCAAGAACCUCCCAAAGCUGAAAGCAAACCAGAGGUCCCCCUUAAAAGUGCCCCACCACCCAUGAACUUCAUGGAUUUACUGAGGCUGGCUGAGAAAAAGCAGUCUGAACCAGUGGAGAUCAAGGAGUAAAGAAAUCAGAAGAGCAGCCUAUGACUGCAGAAGAACUUAGGAAGUGUAAAUUCUUUUAAUGAAAGCAUAGGAAAAAGAAACCAGAGACAGAUGCAAAACUACUUCCAACUGUGUCCAAAAAGGUACCCUCUCAGAAAGAAAGUGUGGGCACAAAACUUAGCAAAGGUUCUGGGGUCAGGGAUCCUUCUAAGGGAGUCCCCUUUCCUCAUCCUGAGAAAAAAUCCAAACCCAGGCCAGGCAAUGAGAAACACUCAGCUUUGUUUUCAUCCAAAUUCAUGCCAGAAGACCAAGACUGGAUCUGACACUAGCUUCCAAUCCUUACUUUGGGAGGGUCAUGACAGACUUGUUUUUAAUGGAACUAGAAAGCCCCACUCCAGCACUUAUUCACCAAGUGUCUCAAAGACUUUUGUUAGUGGGACUCAGAAAUCUGUUACUGAGCACAAAGCCAAAAAAUCUCUUUCUCACCCAAGCCAUUCCAAGCCUGACUCAAUGGUUACCCCACACAAUAAGGCUAAGAGUCUAAGUGUCAGGCAGCCAGGCAACAAGUCAAACUCAGCCCUGGGCAGCCCAGCACAGGAACUACUUGCCCACAUAAUUCUGGCCCUGUGCCCAGGCACCAGAAUAGCAGCUCCAGCUCAGGACCUGAGCUAUCAGUCAGUGGGACUAAGAAGCUAGCCAGUGACACACAUCCCUCUAGGCGGACAGUCUGUGGUAUAAGUGGCCCUGGACGACCUGCAAGCAGCUCAAGCAGCCCUGGACAACCUAUCAGUGGCUCAGGCAGUUCUGGGAGACCUGUGGGCAUCUCUGGAGGCCCGGUGAGGCCUAUAAGCAGUCCACAUGACCUUUGACAACUAGUGAGUGGCUCAGGUCCCCCUGGGUGGUCAGUUGCUGGCCCUGGGCGAUCCAUAAGUUGUUCAGUUCCUGGAAGACCAGUUAGCAGCUUAAGGGCUUAACAAAUAGUUAGUAGCCCAGGUCCCCCCCACCCCCGACAAAGCCCAAAUGUACUGUUGUCUCAGAGACAAUUUCUUCUAAGAAUAUUAUUUGCCAGUCCAACAAUGGACAGAUGAAUGGAAUGAGGCCUCUUCUAUCUGGCUACAGAUCUGCCUACGGUCCUCAAAGUCUUCCCUUCCCUACUGGUUACAAAAGGCAGCAAAAAAAGAAGCAGAAGAAGAAAGAGGAGGAGGAAGAGGAAGAGGAGAAGAAUAUGACUCUGAAAUGGAUGAUUUUAUCGAAAAUGAAGGGGAGCCUCAAGAAGAAAUAUCCAAACACAUUCAGGAAAUCUUUGGCUAUGAUCAAAAACAAAAAUACAAAGAUGAAAGUGAUUAUGCCUUAUGUUACAUGGAGAGUAGUUGGAAAGAACAGCAGAAGGAAGAAGCAAAGAAUUUAAGACUAGGUAUGCAAGAGGACCUGGAGGAAAUGAGACGUGAAGAAAUGAUAUGUCCAAAGGCCAAGAAGUUGAAGAGAUGUUAG